AUCUGGCAGACGAAAAUCUAACAAUUUUGAAUGAUGAAGGGGAGGGAGGACAUUCAUUAAUUCAAAAGUUUGUAGAAUUCAGAUGGUUUAACUGAUUUUAUGGCCUCAAAAAUAUUGUAUUUGCAAUUUCUUUAAGAAAAAUGCAUUCAUUUUUUUUAAUUUUCAAUUAAAUUCGUCCUUUUUUAUCAAAAAGUUGUUCAAAAUGGGCAUAAAGUGAAAAAUCUGGCAAAAUCUGUCAAAAUCUGGCACAGAGAAGGGUGAAUCUUUAUUCUGGCAGACACUUGAAAAAUCUGGCAUUCCCAGAUUUAUCUGGCAACCUGGCAACCCUGGCCAUCACUGACAUUUCAUUGUGUUUCGUAUUUUCAUGGUGUGAUCAAGCAGCUCUGCGAUUCUGACAGUGAAUUUGCAAGAAAAAAUAAAGAAUUCAGUGAAAUGCAUGGAGAAAAAUCUGCAACGAUUGCCUUUGGCCCGCUGGAGUCUCUUUUGGCUCGGAAGUUUUCGCCUGGAGCUUGUUCCAUCGGUGAUUUGCGCCAACUUGGAAUGGCUUUCAACGAGGUUCGCCGGAAUUUACUUCAAAUUCAUCAAAACAGGGUAAUCAUUGCAAUGCUUUAAAAAAACAGGAGGACGAGGACUCGGAGGGCUCGUCAGGCCUGGCUCCGGAUGGCUCCGUGGAGGUGACGGUUUUCAUUGAGUGGUUAUUUUGCCCGAAGAAAGUGUUUUAGUGUGAAAGCGAGUGUGAAAGUUUAUUGUGGAAUAAAGGAUGAUGUGUUGUAAAUUUGUCA